CGGGGGCGGGUCUCGGCCGGCGAGGGGGGCGGUGGCCGGCCGGCGGGGUCGCUGGCGUCGUCUUCCCGGGCCGGAGGCGGGGCGUGCCCGCGGCAGCUCCUCCCCCUGGGCUCCGCGCCGGCUCUAGGAGCCCGAGUGCGGGUGGGAGCAAGCAAGCGAGUGUGUUCUCCUUCCUCCUCCCUCUCUCCCGUCGUCCGCACUGGGCUGGGGCGGCGGCGCCUGAGCGGUUCCCUCGCGAGCCGGUGUGGACCCAGCGGCUGGGAGAGGAGGAGGAGCGGCCGGGCCGGGCGGAGACGCUUGCGGACUCCGCGCAGGCACCUCAGCCAAUCAGAGGCCAGAGUUGACAGUUGCGUAGUUCUCCCCGCCCCCAAGGGCUGCCUCUUCGAGAAGCCACGCCCAACCGCUACGCGACCGCCCCUCUCUCUCGGCGGCUUCCGCGCGGUCCUAAUAUCUGGUCUUUGCCAGCUUAGGGUAGGACGUUGGUGGGACGGCGGGGCGGUGGCUGGGUCGCUAGGUGCGCCGAGCGCGGCGAGUAUCUUGCGAGGUCCACGUGAGAGGACUAACGGGGGUCAUUUCACGUUUUCCGAGGGCCCUAGCCCUGUUUUUGACUACUGACUCCCCUGCUCUGUCUCCUCGCCUGGGCCACCGCCCCACCUCGGCCAGCGCCGUUCGCCGCACUGAACGUGUCCUAGGAGUGGAGGUUCUUCUGAAGUGAGCGCGCUAACCCAAGGCGAGCUCUUUCAGUCUCCACAGCCUGGCCGACUUUCGGGUAGUCAGCAGUGGCAUAAUUCCCACCACAACUUCACAAGGAUCGGUUGUGUUGACUCUCUGAGUUGCAGAUCGGGGAACUGGCUCGGGAGGCAGGAUUGUGGCUGUGGUUAGGGGGCCCGGACGCCUAAAAGCUGAGCGAGCGCCCACGGCGUGUGCCGGCUACAAGAAAAGAAGCCUAAUUUUUUUCAAGCAUCCAGCCUUCUUCCAAAGAUCCUAUGUGGUUUGAGUGAUACCUUUGCCAGCUGCAUAGAUAGAUCUUGAUCAGUAACCGAAUCAGAGUAGCCCACACUUCUUGCCAGUUGGUUUAGAAAUCCUGACCUAUUGCGAUAUGUCAAAAGGACACCCAAGCCAAUAAACUCUGUCAAAUUGGCACACGAAGGGGCUCCUACUCUGCAAAUCCAGCAGAAUUUGAGUAUCACAAAGAAUAACGUACCAGUGAAUCAAAAAAGAAUCCAAGUCCAUAGAGAUUCUCAGAGGAAAAACGGUGGACGAAGGUCCAGGGAAAGAUCUUCUCUACAGAAGCAUGCCAGCCAAAAAAUUUAGAAGGAAAGUGUGAGGAAACUCUCAUUUUGCAACCACCAUGUGUAAUAGUCGAUUCACCACUGGGUGCAAAGUUGCUGGCAAAAGGAACAUUCACGUGCUCUCAAAAUAAUGCCUCAGUUAAAAGGGGGAAAGGUACUUAUUUGUGGAUAAAUCUGAUGGAUGCCACCUUAACAUGUCACAAUGAGCAUUACCAGUAGUGGGACGAUCUAAUAUUCCUCCUCAUGUCAUGGACAUCAUUGGAAGAACAUACUGUUUGUGGUAUUCUUGCCAAAAUGUUUACACUGAAUCUAAUCAUGACAAAAUAAGGCAAAUCUGGAUUAUGGGAUACCGUAUAAGACAACUUAAAAUCUUCAAAAAUCUUAAAAAAAAUAUCAAUGUCAUGAAAGCAAAUACAGAAAGAAAGCAAAUUGUUCUAAAGAAAACUAAGGAGGCAAGUGCAGUGAAUGAUCUGUGAUUGGAUCCUGGACUUUAAAAAAAAAAAGACUCUAAAAAGACAUAUUGGGGAUAAUUCGGUAAGUUUGAAUAGGGACUUCUAGUUAGACAUGGUUACUUUAUCAAUGCUAACUUUCUUGGGUGACAUAAUGACCUUGUGGUUGUAUAAAAAAUUGCCCUUGUUUUCGGCUGAUAGUUGCUCAAGCACUGAAGGUUUAAACGUUAUGGUAUCUACAACUUAUUUUUUAUUUAAAAAUUAUAGAGAAACCAAGCAAAUGUGGCAAAGCAGUGACAACAGCCAAAUCUAAGUAAAGGGUAUAUGGGUGAAUAUUGAACUUCACCUUUCUGCAGGCGUGAUUUUCUUUUCAAAACCAAGUGGGAAACAGGGAGAUUACAAAUCCUCAUCCACAGGACGAGUGAAAGGUAAAAGACAAUAUAUUACAUUUAUGAGUGCAGUUUAACACAAAACUUUCAUUAAUUGAUUUUAUAAAUGGGACAAAAUGCUGACCAGCGUCAUCUUUAAAACUGUAUAUAAAAUAGAAUAAUAAGACUUGUGCAAGACACAUAGAAGCCUAGUGGAGAACUGGUUUUCUGCACUUGUUACCUCGAUAUAUUGGCCUUCCAAAAAAGUAAAGAGUGAAGCUGGUUAGGAUCAACCUGUAAUGGCUUGCAGAGUCAGAAGGUGUCCCAAGAGUCAGUUUGUCAAUGUGUUCUGAAGGAAACCUGGGGCCCAGCCAAAGGCAAGCAAGGUCAUCCUCAGACAGAAACAUUUCUAAAGAAGAGUACAAAAUAAUCCUCUGGAACCAAACUACAAAAGGCACGGUGAAGUACCAGAAGGAUGGUGUUCCGUGCGGAGCAUAAGGAAAUUACCUUAAUUUUGUAUUAUCUGCUUUCUAUCAAAAGCGAUUUAAGGAGAUUGCUUGUAAUCUAAAUAGGGAAAAUGGAGAGUCAAUGCGUUUGUCAAGGUUAAUGCAGGACUUCUCAAUGUAAACGGUCAUUGCAUCUGGUGGAUGCUUUUCCGUACCCAGAAUGACAGACUAGUGCUUUGGGCUUUUCCCUCACUCUCAUGAAAAGUCUCUAAGACCAUGCAAUUUUCACCCUGGAUUCUGAUGCAGAACCCAACAACCUUUUGAUUAGCGAUUCAGUUUCCCAUUGACUUAAUGCUGGGAAAGAAGAAAUCCUAGUGAAUGGAAAUAUAUAAUCUACUCUCAAAGAAAGGGAUAUUCCACAUUGAAAUAAAUACAUUAACAUUCGGCCUACUCGUCCCUUUUAAAUUUCUUUAGAGGUGUCACUCCCCCUGAAUCUUGUCAAUUCUGCGUAAAUGCGAUCACUUUCUUAGAUCGUGGCUUAUAUGUGGUACCUUGAAUGGUCUGCUGUUCUUGUUUGGUAUAAUUUUAAUUUAUACAUAUUUAGAUCCAAAUACUACCAUUUAAAGAGUACUAUCUUUUUCUUGGAAAAAAAUUAUUUGGAAGAAUUUUUAAAAACUAUAAAACUUUAAAUGUUACUUAGCAACUUUAGAGGACUGGUUACAAAUGUUUAUGUAGAGAGGGAAAUACUAAAUACUAAAGACUUACUUAAACCCUGUAAACUGAUGCUAAGAUUUAAUUAAUUUAAAAAUAUGUUUAAGUCAUACAUCUAACAUAUAUAUAAAUAAGUGGUGAAUUUUUUUUAGUUCUUUAAAAAACUACUCUCUCAAGAUGAAUAAACUUAAAAAAAUGGGAGGGCACUGGGGUGGCUCAGUCGGUUAAGCGUCUGACUGUUGAUUUUGGCUCAGGUCAUGAUCUCACAGUCUGAGAGGUGGAGCCCCGCAUGUGGGGCUCUGCACUGACAGUGUAGAGCCUGCUUGGAAUUCUCUCUCCCUCUGCCUCUCCCCCACAAGCACGUGUAUACUCUCUCUCUCCCUCUCAAAAUAAAUAUUCAGUUAAAAAACCCCCAAUUUGUGAUGUAGGAAAAAGUAUUUGUUUUAUUUUUCACCUUUUCAACUAAGUUUGAUGGAACUAUGUGGAUACAAGUUAAGCAAAUAUAACCUAAAUUAAACAACACUCUUGCCACAUUUAUCCCAGAGCACAUCUACGCAUCAGAACACUAGUUUUGUAGACUGACUGUACUUGAAAUAUUUUUUAAAAAUCCUUACGUUCCUCUUCAACAUCAAGUCAAAAUUUAUUUUUCAUGGGGCACCUGGGUGGCUCAGUCGGUUGAGCGUCUGACUUCGGCUCAGAUCACGAUCUCGCGGUUCAUGGGUUCAAGCCCCGUGUCGGGCUCUGUGCUGACAGCUCAGAGCCUGGACCUGUUCCAGAUUCUGUGUCUCCCUCUCUCUCUGCCCCUCCCCCACUCGCGCUCUGUGUCUCUCUCAAAAAAAGUGUUUUUUUCUUGCAUUCAAUAUUUGUAUUUAAAAUGUUCCAUCAACAUUUACAACUUUAAGGUUUUAAAGGUUUUUUUCUUCAUAAUUCUUAAACAUGUCACUUUUUAAAAAGGCACGAGAAGAGUUUUAUUUCACAGAAAUGUAAGCUAAGUCCAGACAUGAAGAUUUUAUCUGCAUAGAUAAAGAUUUUAUCCACACAGGUCUACUGUUUUUCAGAUUUAGCUGUGCCUGGGUAAGAUUGGCAAACUCACGGCAUAUGUCAUCGUUGGCUGUUGAAAUUUGGAUGACCUACAGAACCAUUUCCAUUCUAUCAGAAGGCUUUGGCUGCCGUGCCAGAAGAGUUGGAAAUGAUCAAAGAAAUUCGACUAACUUGUCAUUUCCUGACUUCUAACCUCUGAGAAGUCUUGGGCUUCAACUGGUGACUCAAGCAGUCAGCCAUAUGGAGGAGACGAUGGCCUGGUGCUAAAUUAAGACUCAUAUACACACUAUGAGUUCUCAAAAUCCCUCUCCCUUUCUCCUCCCACACCUCGCCCUCUAACUGCCAGGUCUCACUAGCAUUAAAUAGCCAAUGGCAAGGAGAGAAGCCAUGCUGGGGAUUCCUCGUAGCUUCUGCUCCCAUUUGGGACAGCUCUGGCAAUGGCACCAGCUCACCUUACGACUCCCCUUUUUCUACACAUCCUGCCUAUAGACUUAAGCAGUGACCUCAAGAGCCGAUGUCACGUAGCAACCGAAUGACUCAAACACAGAGCUACUCUAAUAAUGCAGAGUUGCCAUGAUUAUCUCCAACUCCACCUCAUCCUUAUUGGUCAGCGUGUUCCCUAUUCUAAUGAUUCUAAUGAUUGGAAAAAGAGCAAAGAAAUAACAGCCAGGAGAAAAGAAUCAUUUUUCCACAGCAAAGCAUAAGUCUUUCUAAGCAACAGCAACAGUAAUAAAGACCAUUUAUUGAGCAUUGAGUUGUGUGCUGUUGAACUGAUCACUUUACACAUAGUUGCUGUUAAUCUUCAUAACAUUCUUCUGAUAAAUGUCAUUUUAUAGGUGAGGACACCGAGACUGAGAGUUAAGCCAUUUUCCAAGGUUUCAUGCUAGAAAAUGACUGAGGCAUGAUUCAAACUGCAGGUGGCCACCCAAAGCUACAUUUCCAAAUACUAUACCAUCCUUUCAAUUCAAGGACCAAUUUAAAAUAACAUUUGCCACUUAUUUCCUCACUAUCGAAGCCACAGAUGUUCACUAUUAAAAAUAUGAUUAAAAAAUUCAAUUAGUAUUAACAUUUUUAAAUUAGCCCAAACUCAGCUGCCUACAGGUAACUACUACACAUUUCAUUUCCAAUAUUCCAAUAAUCCUGUGAUUAUAUGUGUGUGUGCAUGUAUAUAUGUGUGUAUAUUUGUACGGAGUAUAUGUAUUAUAAGCUGUGGUUUGGGAGUACUACAUUUUUAUCUUAAGAUUAUACUGAUCUCCUAAUUUUGGGAUCGUUCAUUGCUUGUAUAUAGAAAUACAAUUCGUUUUUGUAUGUUGAUCUUGUACUCCACACCUUGCUACUUGUUCAUUUUAGUAGUGUGUGUAUUAUUUAAGAUGUUCUAUAAAUAGGAUCAUGAGUCUAUGAAUAAAGAUGUUUCCCUUUUUCCUUUCUGA